AAGCUGCCAAAGCUCUUUUUCUCACCCAUCAGCACAGAAUUUUUCGCUAACAGAAACCUCAAAACAAUGUAAGUGAAUUGUUUUGUGUAGAUGGUGGAAAUGAGCAGGCAAUGUUUUCUGA
rnacentral:pre_miRNA from 15 species